GGAAGGAGUCCCCGACGACACCUCGGUAAGCGCGAGAGCUCGACAGACGUCACGGCCGUCUUGUAACCAAAGCAGCUUUAAUAAGGAGAGGACGAGAAAAUGUUGCGUGUGCUUCGUUUUUGUAUGACAUGCCAAGAGUUUAUUUUGUAUUUAUUUUAUUAUUUAUUUAUUUCAAAACUAAAUGUAAUGCCAGUCUGUGCAUAUUGCAACAAAUGUAUUUGAGUAACAAAUAGCAUACCGUUUAGGAAUGGAACGAGACAAUGAGACUAUUGUCUCAAAAAAGAAAAAGAAAACAUAUUACAUAUACACAUUUUGUUUUGAACAAUAUUUCAUCUCGUUAGGAGAAUCUCAAAGGAAGAAAGAACACAACUUUAAAGACAAACUGCACUUUUUUUCGGAAUUUUGCCCGUCAUCCACAAAGCCUUUAUGUGAAACAAGAACAUGUGUAUUUCUCUUUUCUGUGCAAUCUAAGCCAUGACAAACUGCUAGCAAGAGGCAGCUAUACAAAAAAUCAAAAAACCACCAACAACGUUCCAUUUACAUGCCAUGACUUGCAUAAUAACCAAGCUAUUAUAGUGGUCCCCAACCUUUUUGUAGCUGCGGAACGGUCAACGCUUGAUAAUUUGUACUGCGGGGAGGUGGGAGAUUCUUUUUUUUUUUUUCUUUUUCUUUUGUCAUGAAAACGGGAGGUUUUUUGGGUCGGUGCACUAAUUUUAAGUGUAUAUUGUGUUUUUUAUGUUGAUUUAAUAAAAAAUAAAAAAAUAAAAUGUAAUUAAAAGAAUAUAUAUUAAUAAAAAAUUCUUCUGCGGCCCGGUGGUUGGGGACCACUGAGCCAUACUAUACUUUACUGUUCUGGAUAGGGUUGUACGGCAUACAGGGAUUAGUAUAGUACCACGAUACUAAUGAAUAAUUUUCGGUACCAUAUCGCCCCUGAAACCCCCCGCACCCACGUCGUCGUCACGUCAUGACAUUGUUGGUUUCACGAGCAGAGGAGCAUAUUGGGCAGUGCACAAUCACAGAGUACUUAUAAGCAGACCCAGUAUGUAGACGGAAAACGGAGAACGGAUGCAUUUUGGCUUAAAAACUGAAGAUAAACGUGAAGUUAUAACACUGAAACCUCCUCAGGAAGACGUGCUUUAAGACAUGGUGUCGUGGAAAUUUCCUAAAGACGAUCCUUUAGUGACAAAUAGCUUUAAAAUGAUUUAUUAAAGUAACAAACAAAUAAUAACGAGCUUUGCAAAGCAAGACCAAACCAGAACGACACAUCCGUUCGUUCCAGCUUGUUCUGCCUGCUUUAGAAUAUGUCAUGACAAUUAUACAUUUUCAGAAGUCCCACCCUCCACGCUCAUUAACAUACAGUACCCCAGUGAAAGAAUAUCCAAAGUCCUGUCAAGAGGAGGGGGUGUCGUUUGCCCAGAUGGGGGUCAGGAAGAGAUAACACAUAUGCCCGGUCAACUAAAGUCCACAUGUCACAUCAAAGACAGAGGAGACAGAGCUUGAUCAGAUUAGGUGUCUCUUGCAAAGCCUCACAUUCCUAAGCCUAAUAAACAACUUUUGGCAACCCACUCAAAGAACAUCAUCUAUUUAAACAAGUAUAAGUAAUUUUGCUAUCACAAUGGCUAGCUAGCUAGCGGCUAACGUCCACCCGCCGUCAGCAGUGUUUUAGCUACUUAUGAAUCACUAAUCCUAGUAAGUUUCUCACAAGGCUUCAAAAUGUAAACAAACGCCAUGGGUGGAUCUACACCUAACAUCCACUGUAAUGAUACCAAGUACAGGCACGUAUCUAGUCCAUACUACUAUGAUUACGUCGAUAUUUUUUGGCAUCACAACAUCUUCUUUAGUUUUUAAAACAUUUAUAUUAUGUUUAUAAACUCAGGAUAUACGUUCCUGGACACAUGAGGACUUUGAAUAUGACCAAUGCAUGAUUCUGUAACUACUUGGUAUCGGAUUGAUACCCACAUUUUUGUGGUAUCAUCCAAAACUAAUGUAAAGUAUCCAAACAGAAGAAUAAAUGAUUAUUACAUUUCUUUAGAAGUGUAAAUGUUAAAAGACAAAAUUAGCAGAUAUUAACAGUAAAUAAACACGUGGAUUAAUAAUUCAUUUUUUCAUGACAAAGAAAAAAAAAUGAUUUAGGGCUAUAAUAAUAAACAUGGAUUGAUUGAAUGAUUGAUAGGAAAGUAACGAGGAACUAUAGUUAAUUAAAGUAAUUUUCAGAACACCACUUUUAGCAUGUACCUAAAACGGCAUUGGAUUUUUUUUUUUGAGGAACAAAUCGGGUUCCGUUACCUGUAUUGAUUAUCUGCUUCUUGCUAGCAGUUUUUCACUAUUUAGAUUGAUUGAUUGAUUGCAACUUUUCUGAGUAGAUUGCACAUUACAGUACAUAUUCCGUACAAUUGACCACUAAAUGGUAACACUCCAAUACGUUUUUCAACUUGUUUCACGUAAAUCAAUUCACGGUAAACGCAGAAAAAGAGAGAGAUGUGUGUUCUUGUCUCGCAUACGCAAAAUUCCCCCUGAAAAAAAAGUGGAGUUACCUUUUUAAGGACAAUAUUCACAGUGCAUACGUGAUGAAUAGAAAGUGUCCACAAAGGGAUUUUAUUGUGAAAUGAUAAGGGUCAUCGAUCAAAAUAAUUGAGUCUAGAUCAGGGGUGUCCAAAGUGCAGCCUGGGGGUCCAUAUGCGUCCCAGAGUAGAGCAUUGUACAAAUCUCCUCAAGAAUGAGACCUAAAAAUGGCCAAUAAUACCUGUCCAGGUCCACACCUUAGCCCUGUUUUGUGGGAAGAAGCACACGGAAAAAAUGUCCAAAAAAUGCAUUACUGGCAUUAUUUUCAUGACAAAUUGGUCUCACUAGCUCCUGUGGCACAGGGUAUGAAUCCUGCUCAGAAUUGAUUUAGGAAGGAUUUACAAACUUAGGUUUUGAUGAAGUUAAACGUGUUAUUUUACACCAAAAAAUAUUAAACAUAGGCUGUUCUUUAAAAAAAAAAAAAAACAUGCAUCAAAUUAAAUUCAAGUUUGUUUUAAAAAUAUAAUAAUCGUUUCAAACGAAUAAAAAGUCAAAACAUUUGUUCAUGGAGUAGCUUAUCAAUCCAUCUUCUUUUGCUUAUCCAAGGUCAGGCCGCGGGGGCUGCAGCCUAAGCAGAGAAGCCCAUACUCCACGUGGCCUCGUGCCGGAAGGAUGUGCCCUAAACACUACACGAUUCGAUUCAUAAUUGAUUCUUUAUUCAAAAUCAAUACUUUUUAAUAACAUCGAAAGCCAGUUCUAUGAUUACCGACAUUCCUCCAUAAAAUAGAUAAACAGCUGUGAUACAUUUCUAUAUUUUUCUAACGAAAACUGGUUUUGUUUAAUAAAAUUCCACCCAAUCAGAGAAGUAUCCCACACUUCUAUUUUCUAAAGUGAAUCUGUACAGCAGAAAUUAAUAUUUACAUCAACAAAUGGUUUUCCUGAGUAACUGAACAGGACAGAUUUGAGAAAAUAUGUGAUUUCUUUGAUUUUUGAUUUGUUAAGACGUUACAAAUAAGGAACUCGCUAUUCAAACCCGAUUAAACACCUCCUCAGGAAUGCGUCCGAGGUCCAAUCGAUGUGGAGAAGUAGAAGCUUUACUUUGAGCUCCUCACCCUAUCUCUAACAAAGAACCCUUCCACCUGACAGAGGAAACUCAUUUCGGCCGCUUGUCCUUCCGGGAUCUUGUCCUUCCGGUCAUAACCCAAAGCUCAUGACCAUAGGUGAGGAUAGGAACCUAGAUCGCCCGGUAAAUUGAGAGCUUUGCCUUCCGGCUCAGCUCUCACAGCGUCUGCAUUACUGAAGACGCUGCACCGAUCCGCCUGUCGAUUGCACGAUCCACUCUUCCCUCACUCGGGAACAAGACCCGGAGGUACUUGUACUCCUCCACUUAGGGCAAAGUCUCCUCCUGAACCCGAAGAUGGUAUUCCACCCUUUUCCGGGCAAGAACCAUGGAUCUAGACUUCUUACCUCAGUCGCUUCACACUCAGUUGUGAACCGAUACAGUCAGAGCUAAAGAUCCUGAUCAGAUGAAGUCAGUAAAAAGAAGAAACCUAACCGGAUCCCCUCAAAACCCUGACUAAAUGUAAUAAAUGUCAUGAACAGAAUCGGUGACAAAGGGCAAGCCUUACCGGGAAAGGGUCAGACUUAUGGCCGACAAUACAGACCGAGGUCUGACACUGAUCAUACAGGUACCUCAUACUCUCUGAACAAUCCUCACAGGACUUCCUGAACCACACGGCUGAAGGCCUUCUCCAAGUCCACAAAGCAUAUGUAGACUGGUCGGACAAACUCCCGUGCACCCUGCCAAGAGUAUAGUGCCGGUCCACAGUUCUUGAAUCUGAGGUUUGACAUCUCUUGCAUAGGCUCCUCUCCAGUACACCUGGAUAGACCUCAAUGGAUAGUUGGAGCACACCCUCCGGUUCUUCUUCUUAAAUAGAGGAACCACCACCCGGGUCUGCCAAUCCAAAGGCACCGCCCCCAAUGUCCGCGCAAUGCUGAAGAGUCUUGUCAACCAAGACAGCCUUGUAAGAAAAUGAAUCCUAGGGCCCUGUCAUAAUUAUGCGUACAAAUGUCUUGCAAAAUGUGGAAAAGUUGUAGUUUGCACAAAGAAAAUAUUAGUAAAAAAUACUCAAAAGAAAAAGUUUAAUAUCUCAAAGGAUUUAAAAGGAUGCCACCCAAACGUCUCCCUAGGGAGGUGUUUAGGGCACGCCCAACCGGACCCAGGACACGUUGGGAAGACUAUGUCUCCCGGCUGGACUGGGAACGCCUCGGGAUUCCCAGGGAAGAGCUGGACGACGUGGCUUGGGAGAGGGAAGUCUGGGCUUCCCUGCUUAGGCUGCUGCCCCCGUGACCCGACCUUGGAUAAGCGGAAGAAGAUGAAUGGAUGGAUUUAGAUUACAUGAAAUUUGCUUUGUUACUGAUAACACAAAGCGUCGUUAUUUUGUUCAGAUAGUUAAAAGGCCUACUGAAAUGAGAUGUUCUUAUUUAAACGGGGAUAGCAGCUCCAUUCUAUGUGUCAUACUUCAUCAUUUCGCGAUUUUGCCAUAUUUUUGCUGAAAGGAUUUAGUAGAGAACAUCCACGAUAAAGUUCUCAACUUUUGGUCGCUAAUAAAAAAGCCUUGCCUGUACCGGAAGUAGCAGACGAUGAUGUCACCAGUGUGAGGUCUCCUCACGUCCUCACAUUGUUUAUAAUGUGAGCCUAUUUGGAGCGAGAAAACGACAAUUUCCCCAUUAAUUUGAGCGAGGAUAAAAGAUUCGUGGAUGAGGAUAUUGAUAGCGAAGGACUAGAAAAAAAUAAAUAAAAUAAAAAUAAAGUUUAAAAAAAAGAGGCGAUUGCAUCGCAGAUGUUUUUAGACACAUUUACUAAGAUAAUUCUGGGAAAUCCCUUAUCUUUCUAUUGUGUUGCUAGUGUUCUAGUGAGUUUUACAGUACCUGAUAGUCGGAGGGGUGUGUCCACGGGUGUGUUGACGCCAGCUGCAUGGACAGCGCAAGCUCCGCUGAUCGCCGGUAAAAGGCGACUUUUUACCACAAUUUUCUCACCGAAACCUGCUGGUUGACAUGUGGUCGGGAAACAUGUUCGCUUGACCGCUCUGAUCCAUAGUAAAGCUUCACCUCCGGGAAUUUUAAACAAGGAAUCACCGUGUGUUUGUGUGGCUAAAGGCUAAAGCUUCCCACCUCCAUCUUUCUACUUAGACUUCUCCAUUAUUAAUUGAACAAAUUGCAAAAGAUUCAGCAACACAGAUGUCCAGAAUACUGUGUAAUUAUGCGAUGAAAAGAGACGACUUUUAGCCGCAAAUGGUGCUGCGCUAAUAUGUCCCCUCCAACCAAUAACGUCACAAAUAGGGAUGCACCGAAAUGAAAAUUUGUGGCCGAAGCCGAAUAAAACUUAAACGCUUGGCUGAAGGCCGAAUACCGAAUAAUGAAUGCAGUUUUUCCCCAAAAAAUUAAUACUGCAUAAAUAGCAUAGAAUCAAUAUUUGGACAUGUUUUUCAAAUAAAGUAAUUUUUUUGGAAUAUUGACAUUUUUUUAAUAUUCCAGUAGCCUUUGCUUUUCAAAAAAAGCACAGUUUUUCAUUUAUAUUAGGCCUUCAAACAAAACAUGCAUUCCAAAAAAAAAAUUAAGUGCAUUAAAGUGGGUAAACCCACAACAAAUGAAUUAUUGUCCUUUUGGCAAAAGUCUGCUUAGCCACAGUAGAUAUGCUAAUAAUGUAAACAGAAGGCUCAAGUAAAUCUCAAUUAAGUGUGUGCUUGUAACCUCAUACACUUAUACAGGUAGCCUACACAACAGGCUAAUAAUGUAAACAGAAGGCUCAAGUAAAUCUCAAUAAGUGUGUGCUUGUAACCUCAUACACUUAUACAGGUACACAACAUAUCAUACACUUAUACAGGUACACAACAUAUCCCAACGUCACUGCACGUUGGUUGAUUGCG